rnacentral:rRNA from 1 species
GUCGAGAAUAAUUCACAAUGGGGGAAACCCUGAUGGUGCAACGCCGCGUGGAGGAUGAAGGUCUUCGGAUUGUAAACUCCUGUCAUCUGGGAGUAAGACCUGACGGUGAAUAGCCGGCAGGGUUGAUAGUACCAGAAGAGGAAGGGACGGCUAACUUCGUGCCAGCAGCCGCGGUAAUACGAAGGUCCCAAGCGUUGUUCGGAAUCACUGGGCGUAAAGGGAGCUUAGGCGGCGUGGUAAGUCAGAUGUGAAAUCCCGGGGCUCAACCCCGGAACUGGUUCCGAUACUGCCAUGCUUGAGGGUUGGAGAGGUAGCUGGAAUUCUCGGUGUAGCAGUGAAAUGCGUGGAUAUCGAGAGGAACACUCGUGGCGAAGGCGAGCUACUGGACAACAUCUGACGCUGAGGCUCGAAGGCCAGGGGAGCAAAAGGGAUUAGAUACCCCGGUAGUCC